GACGAACGCUGGCGGCGUGCUUAACACAUGCAAGUCGAACGGAAAGGCCCUGCUUUUGUGGGGUGCUCGAGUGGCGAACGGGUGAGUAACCCGUGAGUAACCUGCCCUUGACUUUGGGAUAACUUCAGGAAACUGGGGCUAAUACCGGAUAGGAGCUCCUGCUGCACGGUGGGGGUUGGAAAGUUUCGGCGGUUGGGGAUGGACUCGCGGCUUAUCAGCUUGUUGGUGGGGUAGUGGCUUACCAAGGCUUUGACGGGUAGCCGGCCUGAGAGGGUGACCGGCCACAUUGGGACUGAGAUACGGCCCAGACUCCUACGGGAGGCAGCAGUGGGGAAUAUUGCACAAUGGGCGGAAGCCUGAUGCAGCAACGCCGCGUGCGGGAGGACGGCCUUCGGGUUGUAAACCGCUUUCGCCUGUGACGAAGCGUGAGUGACGGUAAUGGGUAAAGAAGCACCGGCUAACUACGUG
rnacentral:rRNA from 1 species